UACGAAGGGGGCUAGCGUUGCUCGGAAUCACUGGGCGUAAAGGGUGCGUAGGCGGGUCUUUAAGUCAGGGGUGAAAUCCUGGAGCUCAACUCCAGAACUGCCUUUGAUACUGAGGAUCUUGAGUACGGGAGAGGUGAGUGGAACUGCGAGUGUAGAGGUGAAAUUCGUAGAUAUUCGCAAGAACACCAGUGGCGAAGGCGGCUCACUGGCCCGGUACUGACACUGAGGUGCGAAAGCGUGGGGAGCAAACAGG
rnacentral:rRNA from 1 species